rnacentral:rRNA from 1 species
GCAUGCCUAACACAUGCAAGUCGAACGAGACCUUCGGGUCUAGUGGCGCACGGGUGCGUAACGCGUGGGAAUCUGCCCCUUGGUUCGGAAUAACAGUUAGAAAUGACUGCUAAUACCGGAUGAUGACGUAAGUCCAAAGAUUUAUCGCCAAGGGAUGGGCCCGCGUAAGAUUAGCUAGUUGGUGGGGUAAAGGCCUACCAAGGCGACGAUCUUUAGCUGGUCUGAGAGGAUGAUCAGCCACACUGGGACUGAGACACGGCCCAGACUCCUACGGGAGGCAGCAGUGGGGAAUAUUGGACAAUGGGCGAAAGCCUGAUCCAGCAAUGCCGCGUGAGUGAUGAAGGCCUUAGGGUUGUAAAGCUCUUUUACCCGGGAAGAUAAUGACCGUACCGGGAGAAUAAGCCCCGGCUAACUCCGUGCCAGCAGCCGCGGUAAUACGGAGGGGGCUAGCGUUAUUCGGAAUUACUGGGCGUAAAGCGCACGUAGGCGGCUGUUCAAGUCAGAGGUGAAAGCCCGGAGCUCAACUCCGGAACUGCCUUUGAAACUAGAUAGCUAGAAUCACGGAGAGGUAAGUGGAAUUCCGAGUGUAGAGGUGAAAUUCGUAGAUAUUCGGAAGAACACCAGUGGCGAAGGCGGCUUACUGGACGUGUAUUGACG